rnacentral:rRNA from 1 species
AUGCAAGUCGAACGGCAGCACAGGAGAGCUUGCUCUCUGGGUGGCGAGUGGCGGACGGGUGAGGAAUAUAUCGGAAUCUACCCUUUCGUGGGGGAUAACGUAGGGAAACUUACGCUAAUACCGCAUACGAACUGAGGUUGAAAGCGGCGGACCGCAAGGCGUCGCGCGGAUGGAUGAGCCGAUAUCCGAUUAGCUAGUUGGCGGGGUAAAAGCCCACCAAGGCGACGAUCGGUAGCUGGUCUGAGAGGAUGAUCAGCCACACUGGAACUGAGACACGGUCCAGACUCCUACGGGAGGCAGCAGUGGGGAAUAUUGGACAAUGGGCGCGAGCCUGAUCCAGCCAUGCCGCGUGUGUGAAGAAGGCCUUCGGGUUGUAAAGCACUUUUGUUGGGAAAGAAAAGCGGUCGGUUAAUACCCGGUCGUUCUGACGGUACCCAAAGAAUAAGCACCGGCUAACUUCGUGCCAGCAGCCGCGGUAAUACGAAGGGUGCAAGCGUUACUCGGAAUUACUGGGCGUAAAGCGUGCGUAGGUGGUUUGUUAAGUCAGAUGUGAAAGCCCCGGGCUCAACCUGGGAAUUGCAUUUGAUACUGGCAGACUAGAGUGCGGUAGAGGAGAGUGGAAUUCCCGGUGUAGCAGUGAAAUGCGUAGAGAUCGGGAGGAACAUCAGUUGCGAAGGCGGCUCUCUGGACCAGCACUGACACUGAGGCACGAAAGCGUGGGGAGCAAACAGGAUUAGAUA